CCCUUAGAUGUUCUGGGCCGCACGCGCGCUACACUGACGAUGGCAACGAGUUUUUCCUUCGCCGAAAGGUGUGGGUAAUCUUUUGAAACAUCGUCGUGCUGGGGAUAGAUCAUUGCAAUUUUUGAUCUUGAACGAGGAAUUCCUAGUAAGCGCGAGUCAUCAGCUCGCGUUGAUUACGUCCCUGCCCUUUGUACACACUGCCCGUCGCUACUACCGAUUGAAUGGUUUAGUGAGGACUCCUGAUUGGCGCCGCCGCCCCGGCAACGGAGCAGCGGACUGCCGAAAAGUUGUUCAAACUUGAUCAUUUAGAGGAAGUAAAAGUCGUAACA
rnacentral:rRNA from 1 species